CAUGAGUGGCGGACGGGUGAGUAACGCGUGGGCAACCUGCCCUGUACAGGGGGACAACACUUAGAAAUAGGUGCUAAUACCGCAUAACGGGGGAGCCGCAUGGCACCCCCCUGAAAACUCCGGUGGUACAGGAUGGGCCCGCGUCUGAUUAGCUGGUUGGCAGGGUAACGGCCUACCAAGGCGACGAUCAGUAGCCGGCCUGAGAGGGCGGACGGCCACACCGGGACUGAGACACGGCCCAGACUCCUACGGAAGGCAGCAG
rnacentral:rRNA from 1 species